AAGAAAAAAAUUUUUUUUUUAAAUUUGUUUGACCGCCUGCUACUGUAAGUCGUAGUACUUGCUUUGAACAUCUUAUGGAGCAUUACUCUCCUAACGAUUUGGUAAAGUCCUUUUAAAAUUAUCAAGUGAAGCGUUCACUUCCUGCUUAAAGUUUUUUUUUUUUUUUUUUAAGUAUUCCACACGUACUUGUAAUGUGUUGCAGGAUUAUUGAUGCUACUGUUACACGAAUUUUCGACUAUGUAUUAAACUUUUCAAAGCAAUGACUAUUAUAUUAUACAUAUCUAAAGGUUUAUCAAUAUACUCUCAACUCAUUUCAAAUGGUUAGAUAAAAAAAAAGAGAACUAACUCUCUCCGUCAAUCGUAAAUGUCAACGGGUAUUAGGAGGUAUAGGCCGCAGAAACUUGGAAAAUCGAGAUAUGGGAGUCUUUAGUUCCUGCUUCCAGCGAUUUUCAAAAUUUACAGACUCAUCAGUGAAUUCAUCAUUUUGCAUUGGCAAAGUGGUAUCAAAUGUAUGCAUAUAGCGUGAAGUGCGAUUGCCCUCAAUGGUAGCUUCUGCCUCUAGUAAUGAUGAUUCUUCUUGAUUAAGUUGCAUACGUUGCAACCAUUUUCGGAAAUAUUUGCCCAAUAAUUUAUUUUUCUUUUGCUCGUGGAACCUAUCCGCUUGCAUUACUAAGCUAGUAACUCGGAACAUCAGCAAAUGCCAGGCAUCAAACGCAUUUCGCAACGUUUGUCUAUUAAAUUCACGACGCUUCCAAUCACUAAUAUUGAAAUAAAAUUUUAUAGCACGCAAUUGAUAUCGCCAAAAAACCAUGGCAGAACGCAUUAGUCGUUCAUUAUAAAAUUGGUCUGCCUGAGACAUUAUCUCCUUUUGGUGAUUGUAACGAAAAGACCAUGCUUCGUACGCUCUAACGACAACUUUUUGCGUUGAGAGCUCUGCUGUGUCAAGCAUUUGAGAAACCGACAAUAACCGCGCUACCCAAGCAUUCCAGCAUCGCAGCACAAGUUUUUCUGAUUGAACUUCUCGAAAGUCAACAACUUUGUUUUCCAGUCGUAAUAACAUAUUAGUCUCACGAAGGUAUCGCCAAUGUUCGAAUACAACUCGCAAAGUCUUUCUUUUGAAAAAUAAAUCAGCAUUUUGUUGCAUUCCAACCUUUCGAUUAUAAGACACUACCCAUUGAUUCCAAACACCGAUAAUUUCGUUAGUAGUAUGAAGUUUUUCCGCGCGGAUCGAUAGCUCUUUAAUGUCCAAUAAUGAAAUACGCCAUUUGAUUAGAUAUUGCUUAGCGAUUUUUUGAAUUCUUGUUAGUUGUAAUUCUUGAGCUUCUUUUUGUAGUUUGAUUCUUCGUUGAUAGUUGUCCUUCCAAGCCUCCCAAGCAAUAGUUAAUAGUCUAUGAUCUCGCUUAUGUUGAAAAGACUUAGCUUUCAUUAAAUAAUACCAAAAUCUGAAUGUGACAAUUAGACGAUCUUUAUUUCUUUUCUCCUGGACUACCUUAACUCUCACGGCCAGUCUCCAU